GGGAGAUGCCAUAAUUAUGUCAAGUUGCUGUUUUCUUCUCCCCCUCUUCCUUUUCUCUUAAUUGAGAAUGAAGACUUUUUCUAGCAUCGCAAUUGCUAUAAAGUGUCUACACCGUUAUCUAAGUGAGUGACUCCUGGUCCGGAUCCACAACCAAUGGGCUGACUGGACAAGAAUUAUCUGGGAGAUUAUUAUGCAUCCAGAUUCCCAAGCCCCACCCUGGAGAUUCUGAUUUGGAAGCUCUGGGAAGGCACCCAGGACAGGAGUCUCAGCAACUAGGGAGGAGGUGUUGCGAGGAUGAGCAUUUGCAAAUUCUUCAACUGUGCUGGAAGAAAGAGGCAGUGCUUAUGUGAAGCUCCCCAGAGGCCCCUGCACAGAAAAGGUGGGAGCUCAACCCCCAUCCUGGGUCUGCAGUUCUGACUCCCAAAGGGGAAGACUGAGACAGGCAACUGUGAGUGUCAGCUGAGCCUGGGUAACCGGCAAGCCCUGGGCACGUGGACUCAGAGCAGUGGCAGGAAGGAACCUGGGGGCUCCUCUUUUAAGCAAGGAUAAACCUGCUGGUCAGAGUCUCUCCUAGGAUAAGUUGUAAAGAAUUCAUUCAUACUCUCACUCAUUCAUUCAGUCACUAAAUCAUUCAUUCAGUAUUUAUUUUUUUUGAGAUGGAGUUUUACUCUUGUUGUCCAGGCUGGAGUGCAGUGGUGAAAUCUCGGCUCACUGCAACCUCCGCCUCCAGGGUUCAAGCAAUUCUCCUGCUUCUGCUUCAGCCUCCCAAGUAGCUGGGAUUACAAGCAUGCGCUACAAUGCCUGGCCAAUUUUUUGUAUUUUU
rnacentral:lncRNA from 13 species